rnacentral:rRNA from 2 species
CACGUAGGAUCCGAGCGUUAUCCGAAUUUACUGGGCGUAAAGCGUGUGCAGGCGGUUUGGUAAGUUGGAUGUGAAAGCUCCUGGCUCAACUGGGAGAGGCCGUUCAAUACUACCAAACUUGAGGAUGGUAGAGGGAGGUAGAAUUCCCGGUGUAGUAGUGAAAUGCGUAGAUAUCGGGAGGAAUACCAGUGGCGAAGGCGGCCUCCUGGACCAUUCCUGACGCUCAGACACGAAAGCUAGGGUAGCGAAUGGG